rnacentral:rRNA from 1 species
GGCCAGACUCCUACGGGAGGCAGCAGUGGGGAAUAUUGGGCAAUGGGCGCAAGCCUGACCCAGCAACGCCGCGUGAAGGAAGAAGGCUUUCGGGUUGUAAACUUCUUUUCUCAGGGACGAAGAAAGUGACGGUACCUGAGGAAUAAGCCACGGCUAACUACGUGCCAGCAGCCGCGGUAAUACGUAGGUGGCAAGCGUUAUCCGGAUUUAUUGGGUGUAAAGGGCGUGUAGGCGGGAAAGCAAGUCAGAUGUGAAAUCCAUGGGCUCAACCUGUGGCCUGCUUUUGAAACUGUUUUUCUUGAGUGCUGGAGAGGCAGACGGAAUUCCUAGUGUAGCGGUGAAAUGCGUAGAUAUUAGGAGGAACACCAGUGGCGAAGGCGGUCUGCUGGACAGCAACUGACGCUGAGGCGCGAAAGCGUGGGGAGCAAACAGGAUUAGAUACCCCCGUAU